CUCCCCUUUGUAUUUUAAGACCGCUCCCUUCCCUUCUUCCCCUCAAUUAAAAAUUCCCUUCAAUUAAAAGUCCUGGAGGGUUCCUCGCCCUAGAGCUCAGGAGAGAGAAGAUACCCCGGGGGUCACCGGGGGACGCGUCUACCAGCCCACCCAAGGGGCUGGGCCCGGAGCCCUCACUCCCCGGGAGGCGGAGGAAACCCACUGGCCAAUCGCCACCACCGAGGCCCAGAUCUGCUCUCUGAUUGGCUCUAGCGGUGACGCCCCCUCCGAAUUCCUGGCUCUGAUUGGUCUAUUUCCUGACUCCGACCGGGACGGUGGCCAGAGGACAAGAGGCUUCCAGACAGACGGAGGGAUGCUUUGGGGGACGUCGGAGACGCGACCAACAGCCGGCGACAAACAGCCGGACUCCGAGGACACGGCGGCGGGCUCUGUGGUCUCGGGGCUGCUGCUGGCGACGGAGAGGAGCCGGCGGGAGCGCCCCCCGAGCCCGCUGCUGCCGCCGCCGAGGUGGUGACAGAAAGAGACAUUAUCAAGAAGGAAUUUGGAUAAGGCACAAACCAAAUUUUGAUUACUACCGACUUACUGGUAUUCCAAUUCCUUAUUUAAUUGUAUUUAUCUACCACAAGUGGGUUUUGAGGGGAAGAUUUUUAGUAGUCUUGGUCAUCUCUAGCCCCGUGGGGGAUAAAAACCUCACUCCACAGUUAGCUGUGUGAUUUAUAUGUGGCUCAUUAUUAUUUUGUGGCCUGGAAGAUGUAUAGCAGUUGCUUUUUGAAUCAGAAUUUGAAUAUCUACUAUCAUACUUUCAGGCUCAUGACUUUUAUAUGUACAACUAGUGUCUAUGGUUAUAAACUAUGAUCAUCUGCCUACUACUUGUGAAAUCUAUAUUUUCAGCUAUUUGUCAUCUUCAUUGAAUAUUUGCUUUUAUUCAGGUGAAAUAAAUUUAUGUAUUGUCAUUGAAGUGUGAUUUUG
rnacentral:lncRNA from 12 species